GCUGCCUUGGGGCAGUGGAGGACUGUGAAUAAGAUUGCCAAAAAUCAUUGAGAUAUAGGAUAGCGUUUUUUCUAAAAUCAAUAUACAGCGCAGACACGAAGUGGUUAAGAUGAGACUUUUUGUUAUAUAGAUGAAAGCUAAUGUGAAGUGGAAAUGCAAAGUACAUU